rnacentral:rRNA from 1 species
GGCUCAGAACGAACGCUGGCGGCAGGCUUAACACAUGCAAGUCGAGCGCCCCGCAAGGGGAGCGGCAGACGGGUGAGUAACGCGUGGGAAUCUACCCUUUUCUACGGAAUAACGCAGGGAAACUUGUGCUAAUACCGUAUGAGCCCUUCGGGGGAAAGAUUUAUCGGGAAAGGAUGAGCCCGCGUUGGAUUAGCUAGUUGGUGGGGUAAAGGCCUACCAAGGCGACGAUCCAUAGCUGGUCUGAGAGGAUGAUCAGCCACAUUGGGACUGAGACACGGCCCAAACUCCUACGGGAGGCAGCAGUGGGGAAUAUUGGACAAUGGGCGCAAGCCUGAUCCAGCCAUGCCGCGUGAGUGAUGAAGGCCCUAGGGUUGUAAAGCUCU